CCAUAUGUCAUACAAGAAGCUUACUCAAGCGGGGCUUACAAGCUGGUUGAUGCAGAUGGCAUGAGAAUCGUCCCUAUCAAUGGCAAGUUUAUGAAGAAGUAUUAUCCUUGAAGUCAUUAUGCUCCUCGACGUACGAGCCUAAACUGCAAGUCAUGUGUCACGACCCUAAAACAGACUCAGUCAUGAUGGCACUUAUCGUAAAACUAGGUCAGCUGACACAAACCCCCAAAACCAACCAAACAAUUAUAAUAAGUCAUUUAAAAGUCAUUAAUAAGCUAAAAUCUCAAAAUUUAAGGUAGAAUAGAACAGUGCGAAAACAAAACACGGCCCGACAUCAGGGUGUCACCAGUCAUGAGCAACUAAAACUCGUCUAUAAAUACGAAAAGACAACAAAGUCUGAAACAAAGCUAAUACAAAGCGGAAUAAAGAUAGGAAGGAGAAGCACUGGGCUACAAACGCCAAACAGCUACGUAGUCAACUCCGAAAGCCUGCUAGAAGACAAAUCAGCACUCGCUAGCGUGACCCGAGACUCUUGGAUCUGCACACAGGGUGCAGGGAGUAAUGUGACUAUGCCAACUCAGUAAGUAAUAAAAGUAAAUGCCGCUGAGCAGUAAGAAACAUGUAAACCACAACAUAAUGCUACAACAAAACAGUAUAAGUCCAUAACAAUGCAGUAAAAUAGUAAAACUCGUAAAAACAUCUCAGUUCAGUAAAACCUUUUACAACAUUUUUAAUAGUUUCAAACGAGUGAUGAAAACUGUGAGUAAUAUGAUAGAAACGUAAAACAUCCCCUCGGGCAAAACAAGUACAACAACCGCCCCUCGGGCAAAAUAUCAACAGAUCCACCCACUCGAGCUAUCUCACAAUCACUCGUAAUCAGCCCCUCGGGCAAUAUCAUGAAACAAUAACAGCCCCUAGGGCUAAUAUCACAUCUCACACUGGGUAUCCGUGCUCACUAGAGGUGUUCAGACUCUGGAGGGGCUCCUACAACCCAAACGCUAUCACAAGCCACCUCGUGGCAUAACAAAAUCAGGCCCCUAAUCUCUCAUAUAUCACGAUCAGCACACAUGCUGAGGUGCGCAACCCGAUCCCAUAAUAAUCCUCACAACACAAACCCUCGGCCUCACUCAGUCAGAAUCUCUCAAGCCCCUUGGGCAACAGUAAAACAUGAUGCUCAACCCAAAAUAUCAUUUAGAAAUAUCAGAAUGGAGUAAAUAUGACUGAGUUAUGAAAACAGUAGAAUACAGUAUGAUUGAGUAUAAUUAUAAAGUAAAACAGUAAGGAAUAACAGUAAAAAACCCUAAGGGUCCAAAACAGUUGGCACGAGGCCCAAAUAUGGCAUUCAACCCAAGACAUGAUAAUACUUUCCAAAACACAAUGAUAUCAAACAAUUUUCAAUCAAAUACGCGACUUAAUAGUCGUACGGAACGAACCAAGUCACAAUCCCCAAUGGUGCACGACCUCACGCUCGUCAUCUAGCGUGUGCGUCACCUCAAAGUAGUGAAACGAUGUAAAAUUCGGGGUUUAUACCCUCAUGGCAACAUUUAUAAUCAUUACUUAACUCAAUCUAGUCCAAAUUCUAGCCCGCAAUACCUUUGCCUCUCGACUCGGCCUCCGGAUGCUCCAAAUCUAACCAAAAAUAGAUUUAUACCAUCAAAAUAUACUAAGGGAACGAAACUCACUCGAAAAUAACCAAUUUAUAUAAAAACGAAAUUCGUCAAACCCGACCCUCGGGCCCACAUCUCGAAUUCCGAUAAAAUUCACAAAACUAGAAUUCUUACACUCUCACGAGUUCAUACAUAUCAAGAAUACCAAAAUCCGAUCACAAAUGACCCCUCAAAUCCCUAGAUAAAGGUCUUCAAUUUCCAAGCCCUAAACCCCCAAUUUUUGCUACUAAUUUCCAUAUAUUUCAAGCUUAAUAAGUCAAAAACCAUCAUAGAAACAAUUUUAGGGUCCAAAAACCUUACCUCCACGAAAUUCCCUUGAAAUCCCUCUUCAAAUAGCUCCCUCAAGCUCAAACCCGAAUGAAAAUGGUGGAGAACAACUCAAAAAUCGCGAAGGAGGGUUUAUAUACAUUUUGGCCCAGGGUUUUCACACCUGCGGUCCAUUUUCCACACCUGCGGAGCCGCUUCUGCAUUCAACCAAACCGCUCCUGCGGUUUUCACUUAAACCCCCUGGAACCGCACCUGGGCAUAUCCUUCCGCACCUGCGGUCUCGCAGGUGCGCUGAAACUUCCGCACAUGCGCCUUCAGACCAUCUCGCCCAAUUCCACAUCUGCGUCCACUGUUCCGCUUCUGCGGUAUCUGCAGGUGCAAUUAUGACAGUAAUUCAGCAACUUCAGCUGCAAAUUUCCAACUCCCAACUUCCCGUCAACCAUCCGAAAUUACCCCGAGGCCCCCGGGACCUCAACCAAAAGUACGAAUACCACUAUCAAAACUUAUACCAACCUUCGAAACAUCUAAAACAACAUCAAAUCAAUAAAAUAACAUCAAAUUUAAGCUUAAAGUUUCAAAAACUUCCAAAUUCCGCUUUUGAUCAAAAAGUCUAUCAAACCUCGUCCGAAUGACCUGAAAUUUUGCACACAUAUCACAUAUGACAUAACGGACCUACUGCAACUUUUUUUAUUCCAUUCCGACCCCUAUAUCAAAAUCUCCCCUAUCAACCGGAAAACGCCAAAAUUCCAAUUUUGCCAAUUCAAGCCUAAAUCUACUCCGGGCCUCCAAAACCCAUUCUGAUCAUGCUCCUAUGUCUCAAAUCACCUCCCAAAGCUAUCAGAACCAUUGGGAUUCACAUUCAAGCCCUUUUUUAUAUAAGUCAACAUCUGGUUGACUUUUCCAACUUAAGCUUACUCAAAAGAGACUAAGUGUCUCCUUCCUUUCCAAAACCUCUUCGAACCCGAACCAACCAACCCGAUAUCAUAUAUCACAGCUGAACAAGACAAUAAGAAGUAUAAAUAGGGGAAACAGAGCGGUAACUCCUGAAACGACCGGCCACGUCAUUACAUCAUGACGCUCCUCGUUGCACGAGCGUAAACUGCAUGUUCCUAUACUCCUGGCCCGCAAGAGUAUAAACUGUGUACGGCCCAAAAAAAAGAGUCCACUAUUUUGAAAAUCUCGAAAGAGGCGGCCUAGGAAAAAGUUAAGACAUAAAAAAAAUCUACCCAAUCUUAACUACGGUAUGACUUGAUCCUCUUCACGAGGUACGUAGGCAGCUUAGAGUUUCAUUCUGAGUUCAGUCGCAUAAGUUCAAAAGAUACAUAAUCCCCUAAUCAUUGUCCGAAUGAAGUACGAUGAAGUGUAAUUCAUUCAAUCAGCACUUGAAAAUCGAGUUGAGAUACCAUUUUUCUGUUAAACUUUGGAUCCCAUUUGAUUUAAAGGGGGCAGCCACUAUAGUAAAUUGGAGUCUUAAAUAAAAUGAUUAAUAUAUUUUAGGAGGCUGCCAAACAUUUGCAUUGAAGUCCGAGGAUUCGCUAUGCCUCCAUGUUCGUCAAACCUUCAAGUUUUUGGUGUACCUUCACGACAUUUCAAAUUCAGUGAGACUUGAACCCAAGAUAUUUGGAGAGAAUGAAUCUCUUGAAUUUGAAUUUCUAAAAAUUAAAAAGGUCUUAUAAUCUCGAGGCUUCCACACCAAGAUAUAGAAUUUUUGGUGAAGUCGCGCUAAUUUGGAACUGUCGGUAUAUCAGAAAUCGAAGUCAACUUCGAACUAUCUUCUGAAGCUAUCCUUAAGGCAUUAAAUUUUACAUGUUGGAUAUUUUUUAGAUUUUGAAGUUUAGUUUCCAAGAACUCAAGUGGUUCGUGAUUUCGAUGUCCCUACUUCAAGAUACAAAACUUUUGGUGAAGUCGCGCAAAUCUGAAAUCGUCAGUGUGUCAGAAUUUUACGUUGAAUUUGAAAUAUUAUCUGAAAUUAUUCUUAAUGUUUUAAAUUUUGCAUUCAGGAUAUGAUUUAAAUUUCGAAGUUUGGUUUCUGAAAAAUCAAACGGUUCGCAAUUUCGAUAUUCCUACACCAAGAUAUAAAUUUGUUUGGUGAGACUGCGCAAAUCUGGAAUUGAUAGAGUGGUGCAAUAUAAAGUUGAUUCAAAAUUUUAUAUGGGACGAUUAUGAAGUUUUUUGAUUGAGAAUUUUGGAUAUGUUAUAGAUUUUUAAGUGUAGUUUUCAAGAAAUCAAACGGUUUGCAAUUUCAAUAUUUCUACACCAAGAUAUGGUUUUUUGGGUGAGACUGCGCAAAUCUGAAAUUUUCAACGUGGUGGAAUCUAAAGUUGGUUUCAAAAUAUUAUCUGGGGUGAUUGUGAAGGUGUUUGAUUCUAAAUUUUGGAUAUAUGUUAGAUAUUGAAGUCUAAUUUUUGAGAAAUCAAACGGUUUGUUAUUUGGACUCUCCCGCGACAAAAUAUGAAUCUUUUGUUACAAAUGCAUAAAGCUAAAAAUUAUUCGACUAAGACAAAAGUCGAACAAUGUAAAGCAAAAGAGAAGAUGAAAUAUUUAAGCCCUCGAAGUCUCCAAGUUGAAGUCUCCAAGUCCGUCGGUCUUCAAGUUUCAGUCUUCAAAUUCGUCGGUCUUAAAAUCGAAAUGUUUAAACCUCCAAGUCUUUAAGUUGAAGUCUUCAAGUUGAGGUCCUCAAACUCGUCGGUCUUCAAGUGGAAGUAUUUGAGCCCUCAAAGUUUUCAGAUUGAAACGUCAAAGUCUGCCGAAUCUUCAAGUUUGUCGGUCUUCAGGUUGAAGUUUGCAAAGUCUGGCAAAUCUUCAAAGUUUUCCAAGUGUUCAAGUCGAUGUCAUCAAGUCCAUGAAGUCUUCGAGUUGAAGCUUUAUAACUUUCCAAUCUUAAGAUGGACAUAUAAGUCCUUUGCACCCUAAGUUGGCUUCUUCGUGGGUUUGCCCUUGAGAAUGGUUAUUUUGAGAGUAAUCUCUCUGGUAGUCGAGCUACACUGAAAGUAAUCUCUCUAGUAGUCAGGUCACAUUGAGAGUAAUCUCUUCGAUAGUCGGGUCAUAUCGAGAGUAAUCUCUCCGAUAGUCGAGCCACAUUAAGAGUAAUCUCUCCGGUAGUCAGGCCACAUUGAGAGUAAUCUCUCCGGUAGUCGGGCCACAUUGAGAGUAAUCUCUCCGAUAGUCGGGUCAUUUUGAGAGUAAUCUCUAUGGUAGUCGGGCCACAUUGAGAGUAAUCUCUCCGGUAGUCCGGCCAUGAGAGUAAUCUCUCCGAUAUUCGGGCAGGGAUGAGUACUCAUCCCUUCACACCUUAAAACACCCUUCUUCAUGCGUGGAUAAUCUCGUUGAGCAAGAAGAUAUCCUUCUUAUUUUACCUACCAAAAAAACCAGUAAAGGAAGAAAAGCGCAAGAAAAUAAGAAGAAAUUACCUUCGCGUCAGUGCUACCAAGUCGUCAAAAGUAGACUCAAAAUGGUUGCCAAACGCCGAAAAUGAUGCUAAUAGAAUAAAGAGUAUAUUGUAUUUAUAGAUGUCAAGAGGCGAUGGUUGAAAGUGAAGUGCCGAUGUGGGAGGCAAGUAAUACAAUUGGUCUCCUAGAAAUAUUCGGCUACAUGCGGCUUUUGAGGACAAAUUUCCGAGUCCCUUGGUGUCCAAAGCCGGUAUGGUUGCUGUGUAAUCACAAUUAUAAUUGUCACACCUCCUUUUUUACCUACACCCCGGAAAAGGGGGUAUAUAAGGGAGUUUUUUCCAACUUAAAGUGACAAUCGAAACGGGAUUAUUUAUUUAUUAAGUUCAGAGUCGCCACUUGUGAGAUUUAUUGUGUCCCAAGUCACCGAUUUCAAAUCCCGAAUCGAGGAAAGAUUAACUCUGUGUUACAGUCCGCGAACCAGAAAUCCGAGUAAGGAAUUCUGUUAACCCGGGAGAAGGUGUUUGGCAUUCCCGGGUUCCGUGGUUCUAGCACGGUCGCUCAACUGUUAUAUUCGACUUAAUUAUCUGAUUUUAAACAAUUUUGGACCUAUGUGCAGAUUUUAACUUUUAACCGCUUUUAUUCAAUUUUAAAGAAGAUUGAACGUCGUUCAAAAUACGUCUUUGGAUCGCACCACAUGAAAUGCACCCGCAAUCCUAAACAUAUUUUAUUCAACGUUUUAAGAUUUGAUUUGGGUCACAUGAAAUGCACACCCGAGUUUAGGAAGGUAAUAUUAUUAAAAUACGCGCCUGAAGAAAGCUAUGAUGUUUAUGAUUUAACGGCCUAAGUAUGCUACUAUCGAUUUAAUUAAGUAAAGUGAAAUAAAGGAAUAACAACAAAACUAUCCAAAGUUCAAAUCAUAUUAAUAUUCGGUACUUGCCAUGGUCAAUUUAUCCUAAGAAAUCCAAGUCCCUUUUUUUAAAAUAAAAAAAGAAGAAAGAUUCCACAACCCCACUGCUCGUCAUUCUCACCACACAUAUAAUAAUCAAAAUCAUCACCAAGAAAACAAAAUCAUCAACCACACAUGUAAUAAUCAAAACCCACAUUUAAUUCUAAUUCAAUCAUGAUCUAACACAAUCCAUAUAUAAAAAUAAAGAUCUGAAGCUUAAGAGAAAGAGAAAUGAACCUCUACAUAUCUGAAAUUUGAUUGUUUGAUGGAGAACACGAAAAGGUAGCGGAACGCGGAUGAGAACCGGAAUCGGCACCGGAAAGCUUGCCCAAAACAAAGCUAACAGAGGAUAAACUUAUCGUCCAAAGAAAAUAUCAAACCCAAAAAAAUGAAUAGGAUCAGCGAUUUCCUUCUCCUAAUCCCCUAGUGUAUUUGCUACUGGAACAACACUUCCCUCGAUGUCAACUUCGUUUGCUUCCAUUGCAAAUGCAUAAUAUGCAACUGGAAUUUCAUAGGAUUUAUAGGCAGCACAAUCGAAUAAUCAAAAGUAGUAAUUAAUUAUUUGUGACAUUGCAAAUACGUUUCUCUGGAUAUCGCUUUUCUAGUGUGUUGGAUAGAAAAGACCCUCUCUGUUCUCGUGUGUGUGUGUUUUUUGAGUGGAAAAUCACUGAAUUUUUUGGUAUUUUUCUGUGCCGAUCUGCCGUUCCUCUUUUUUGUCUAGGUCUAGGUCUUGAAAACUUAAGGGUAGAGUUUCUAUAAUUGAGUAUUUUAUAUGCAAGUGGGAAGGGAUGAUGGCCAUUGGAUUAGAAGGAAAUAGAUGGCUAGGAUUAAAUCUUGCACU
rnacentral:lncRNA from 1 species